AGCACUUCUCUCUCCUGCCACCACAUGAAGAAAGACAUGUUUGCUUCCCCUUCCGCCAUGAGUGUAAGUUUCCUGAGGCCUCCCCAGCCAUGUGGAACUGGACAUGGUCACCCAGGCUGGAGCACGGUGGUGCAAUCACAGCUCACUGCAGCCUCAAACUUCAAAGGAUCCUCACAUCUCAGCCUGCUGAGUAGGGCCUCUCAGCUUGUGGCAUGAUUCACUGAAAUACAUCAAACAUGACAGAAGAUGCAAGCAUUUGGAAACUUACAUCAGCCAUCAUCAAAUUAAAAAGCUAAAAAGUGCUAUCAGCUGGCUUGCUCAUCAUUGAGUGACCUGAAGUGAUGGAUGAUGGAGAGGAGGUUGCUGUGAGGGUAGAGGUGGCUCAGUACCCUGCAGGAGCAAUGCAAAGAGAGACUGUGCCCAAGACCAUCUCCCCGGGGGGGAUGGGUGGCAUUCCUGCCUUCCUUCCACCAACAAAUGUUGACUGUGCCAUGCACUGGGAUGACAGAGAUGACUCAGAUGUGCCCUUGUCCUCAAUGUGUUCAUGGUUGGAUGAGGAGAACACCAGUCUUACUCUAGUGACUGAAGGCUAAGACAAAGACUCCAGCCUCAAACUUGAGGAAGGAAGUUCAUGUUUCUUCCUGGGUUGGCCAAUAGAAAGUGGUAUUUGUGGCCGGGCAUGGUGGCUCACGCUUGUAAUCCCAGCACUUUGGGAAGCCGAGGCGGGUGGAUCACGAGGUCAAGAGAUCAAGACCAUCCUGGCCAAUAUGGUGAAACCCUGUCUCUACUAGAGAUACAAAAAAAUUAGCUGGGUGUGGUGGCAUGCACCUGUAGUCCCAGCUACUCAGGAGGCUGAGGCAGGAGAAUCGCUUGAUCCUGGGAGGCGGAGGCUGCAGUGAGCCAAAAUCGCACCACUGCACUCCAGCCCGGGUGACAGAGUGAGACUCCAUCUCAAAAAAAAAAAAAAGUUGUAUUUGUGUAGUUUUUCUAACUGUAGUGAUGUGCGUGUGCUGAAUUACUCACUUGGAUUCUCCUCCUUGAGAGUAGGGUUCAUUUUGUCACUAAUCUGGCUAGAUUGCUUAUCAUAAUGCUUAAAAAUAUAGCUUUAAACAUACAAGUGGCCAAUAAACAUGUGAAAAAAACACUCAACAUCACUAAUCAGAGAAACACAAAUUAAAACCACAAUGAGAUACCAUCUUACACCAGUCAGAAUGGCUAUAAUUAAAAAGAAAAAUAGAUGUUGGUGAGGAUGUGGAGAAAAGGGAAUGCUUAUGUACUGUUGGUUAGAAUGUAAAUUAGCACAACUUAAGGAAAACAGUAGGGAUAGUUCUGAAAGAACAAAAAAUAGAAAUGUCAUUUGAUCCAUUCUCAAAGAACUAAAAUUAGAAAUAUCAUUCGAUCCAGGAGUCCCACUACUGGGUAUCUACCUACAGGGAAAUAAAUCAUUAUAUGACAAAGAUACUUGCACUCAUGUUUAUCACUGCACUAUUCACAAUAGCAAAGAUAAUGGAACCAACCUAAGCGUCCAUCAGUGGUGGAUUGGAUAAAGAAAAUAUGGUAGCUAUACAUCAUGGAACACUACCCAGCCAUAAAAAAGAAUGAAAUCAUGUGUUUUGCAGAAAAUUGCCUAUUGUGUACAAUGUUCACUAUUCGAGUGAUGAGUACAUCAAAAGCCCAAACUCCACCAUGGUACAAUAUAUGCAUGUAGGAAGUCUGCACUUGUACCCUCUACAUCUGUACAAAAUAUUUUAAAAUAUAGCUUCAAGAUGUAAUUAAAGUCACAUAUCAGCUGAUUUUGAGUUAAUAAAAAAGACAGAUGAUCACUUUUGGCCAGAACCACCAUCUUCUAGUAUUUUGCCAAAAUAAUGAACACAAAGGGAAAGAGAAGAGGCACCCAAUACGUGUUCUCUAGGCCUUUUAGAGAACGUGGGUUCAUUCCUUUGGCCACAUACCUGUGAAUCUACAAGAAAGGUGAUAUUGUAGACAUCAAGGGAAUGGGCACUGUUCAGAAAGGAAUACCCCACAAAUGUUUUCAUGGCAAAACUGGAAGAGCCUACAUUGUUACCCAGUGUGCUGUUGGCAUUAUUUUAAAAACACAAGGUUAAGAUUCUUGCCAAGAGAAUUAAUGUGCAUAUUGAGCAUAUUAAGCACUUUAUUAAGAGCCAAAAAAUAGCAUCCUGAAUUGCAUGAAGGAAACUGUUCAGAGAAAAAGGAAGCCAAAGAGAAAGGUACCUGGGUUCAACUGAAGCACCAGCCCGCUCCACCCAGAGAAGCACACUGUGCAAGAACCAGUGGGAAGGAGCCGGAGCUGCUGGAACCUACUCCGCAUGAAUUCAUGGCAUAAUAGGUAUAUAUGUAAAAAAAAAAAAAAGGCCUCUGGACUGUAACAAAACAUAAAAAACAUUAUCUUGGGUGGGGCUGAUGUAAUCAAGUGAAAGCUAUUAGCCCUCCCUGAAGAGAGACAGCAUUUCCUGCUGGACAUGAAGAAGCAAACAAGGUUGUGGAGAGAGGGGCAGCCUCCGGGAGGUGAGAGCCUCGGCACUAGAGCAGCAAGGAACUCAAUUCUGUCAACAACCUGAACAACCUUGGAUGCGGACCCCAAGCUCCAGAUCUCCAGAUGAGAAUGCAUCCUAGACAACACCUGGACUGCAGGCUCAUGACACACUGAGCAGAGGACCCAGCUAAGCUGUGCCUGGACUGAACCAUAAAAAUGGAGACAACAAAUGUGUAUUCCUUCAAGCUGCAAAAGAAAAAUACAAAUAUAUAUCUCCA
rnacentral:lncRNA from 1 species